CAUUCCGAGGAGCGUUGCAACGACCGGCCCAAGUUCAGACGGGGCGGCCGCCAGGCUCGGAAGUUCAAACGGCGCUCGCAGUAU
rnacentral:ncRNA from 16 species